GAUGUUGGCGACCGUCACUUUGUCCAUCUAUGCCCGAUGAAGAUCGGUGAUUUUUUUAUAUCCACUCUCUAAAGCGUACAUAUCGUGUGGCCACUGAAAGAAAAGGACAAGUCAAGUCGAAUAAAAAAAAAGGAGAGAAGAAUAUCGUUAACUUACCCCAAGUAUUGUCAGGUAAAAUGAAUAAAAUAUUUUGGACACAGUCUGAUUUCUUCUGUUCUCCC
rnacentral:lncRNA from 1 species